CGCUAUAAACAAGUAAUCGCAAACGACGAUACUUACGCUUUAGCAGCUUAAACCUGCUAACCAUUUAGCUGAAUUUGCUUGUAGGUUUGGUUAAAUGGUCAUCUUAUACAAGAUCGCAUUAAUGUAUGCUUUGGGCAUUGAUGUUAAACUUUACAAAGCUCGCGUUGACCACCCUGUUCGCCGGGUCAGUCAACGUCAAAUUCAAAGGUGAAACUAAGCAUGUAGAGCUUUGUGGCAGCGGACUGGCGGACGCGGGUUCAAUUCCCGCCGCCUCCACCA
rnacentral:tmRNA from 1 species